CGAGGUGUAGCUCAGCCUGGUUAGAGCAUCGGAGCUAUGGGCCCGAAGGUCGUAGGUUCAAAUCCUACCAUUCCGA
rfam:Candidatus Staskawiczbacteria bacterium RIFCSPHIGHO2_01_FTLL_34_27 rifcsphigho2_01_scaffold_17034, whole genome shotgun sequence.